UCAACUCUUUGGACUGUUUGAAGAAACUGUGGAGCUGUGACUCAUCAGGAAACAACUCAUCUGAGUUGUUCCACGUCGACAUUUUGGACUGUGUGAAGAAACUCCCUUCCUGCCUGCUUCCUGACAAGUGGAGCUG